rnacentral:lncRNA from 1 species
AAACUCUUUCCAAUUGCAUCUCAUACAAUUCUCAACUUUAUCUUGUCCUCUUAAAAUACUUAUUGCCUUGUGUUAGCACAACAAAUAAUAAUAUUUUAGUUAAGUCAAAUCCUUCAUUUCCAUAUAGUCAUAUUCGAAUAAUAUUGCCCUUGUGGUUGCACAACAAGGCAAUAUAUUAAAAUAUGCCAUAAGCAUCUUAAUGCACCAAGACAGUAUAACAUCAGUCCCCAUUGCAAGUCUUGUGGUUGCACAACAAACUAGCAUGGAUCUUGAC